ensembl:lncRNA
AGUCUCAACUCUUAGCGGGGUGAUGCUGAAGGAUGUCAUGGUAAUGUGUUCCCCUGUCAGAGCUAAGAAGUUUGACCUCCAAUUAUGCAAUUUCUGCUUUUUUAAUUUUUUAAUUUCUCUGGAAAGGCAGAAGCUACUUUUCUCCUCAGGAGCACAGGCCUCGAUUUACGUUUGACCAGAGCCGGUUCCUGGUGGGAAAAGACAAACUGAGCGGAGAACACAGGUUCAACAAAAACAGCCGGGGUAGAAACUCGAUAAGCGAUGACACCACUGUCACCGAGAGUUCAGCAGCUGUAAUAACAACAAGCUGUAAGAAGUGUGCGCUGAGCACGCAAUAACACCCCCCUCACAGGUCAUAUGUGUGUAAACUUAAAGCUUACUGAUGUGUUGUGAAUAGAACAUACGUUCUUUUUUUUUUCUCACUCGUCAGUUGUUGCUGCAUUUGAAAAUAUUGUUGACAUGAAGGUUCGUUGUUCCAAUAGCAUCGGCUAUCCCUCAGGAUCUGCAAAAAUCUCUGCUGGAUGGGAACGUCAAGGCCUUCCACUGCUGAGUGACCUGGUAGGCGUGGAUGAACACCACCAUGACCGCAACCAGACAGAUGAGAGGCACCAGCACCGCUGUGCACAGAGCUGCAUAGAUGUUUGGGAUGAAGCACCUAAAGGGAGAACCAACAACAUUGAAAGUGAUUCCCUGUUUUUCUUCUUCAGUUUAUGUAGAUAGAAAUAUGCAGAAUGUAUGUGGAAAAAAGAGGGGAUUAAAAGAGAGGAAGUUUGCAUCCAUAAAAAGGUAAAGCUCUAAAAUAUGGGAAACGGGUUAAGACUGCAUUUCUUCAACUUUCACAAAUACGUUUUAUCUGGUAAAUAUAGAAUAGUUAUUUCAGUUCAUAUGAUGAUCCUGCAUAGCCGACAAAGGUGAAGAGGAAGCUUCUAAUCUAGUUAUCUUUGAUGUGAGCCAGCCUAAUUAUUUUUCCUGGGAAAUCUCUGGAGUCUUUUCCUUGCUUCUGUCCAAUCAGAUGCGUUUUGAAGCUUAAACGAAGAUCUUUCUCUGGGAAAAUCAACAUCCUCAUAUGAACUGUUAACUGCCAAACAACUAUCAAAACACUCAUGUGACUCUUGUCUUUUCACAAAACAAGUUGGGCCCCUGGUUGGGUGGGAGUGUGAAGCACAGAUGGGAUCUCACGGCAUGUCUGAGUAACUGCAGAGAAAUAAUUGGGGCCAUGCUAGCCACAACAUAACAUGAGGUAUGCCAAAUAAAGCAUUGCAUCACCACUGACCAGC